CUUUGAAUGAUGCAUUUCUGUGAGUGUCCCUCCACAUUUUAAGUGUCAUUUUGUUUUGUUUUGGUUUUUACCUUGCAAACAGGCAGCGGAGGAAACCUCCAGGGAACUAAGACAGAGUCCGCGAGAGGCACAGUCACACAAUACAUCCCCGAGAACACGGAUUAGACACAUAGUGAAACUUCACAGCUCCGAAUCACCACCCGCUCCAAUCCCCUCACCAUCUCCUCCUCAGAAUGAGAAUCAGAAAGCGUUACAGAAACAGCAAAGAAUCCGAGAGGACGUUCAGACAAAGUUGUUUACUCCAGCGGCCCCGAGGCCAUCCCCUGACGGAGGCGGAGAAAACGACGAAAUUGAUCCGGGUGGAACUGGGCGUACUACGGGUCAAGGAGCUCUCCCUCACACAGAGCAAGAAGAAGAAGUUAUGACUCCGGUGGAUUAACUACAAACCAAGAGAUGACAAAAAAACAAAGCAUGACCUGCCAUAUAAAUAAAUAUAAUAUAUUACAGAUUUCCUUUCAGACCUAUAAUUUAGCGAGCGUACUUUAUUCUUAUCCACAUAUUCAAAUAGAAGUGAUUGCACAUGGCAUGGAAAGAAAAUUAUUGCACAGUCACCGCGUUCCUGAUCUCAGAUCUUUCCAUUCACAUGGAUCUAUGAGA